rnacentral:misc_RNA from 1 species
GAUUGAAAAAACUAUAAACAAGCCAUGAACCAUUCAUGCUCAGAAAACUUGGAUGAACGUGAAGAUAUAAAUAUGGGCCUCAAAUCUGACAGCCCAUAUUAUAUAUGUCUUUUCAAGAGAACUUUUUACUUUAAUUUGCAUCAGUUAACAACUUCCAGCAUCUUCAUGCACUUGAGCAUCUCCUUUGAAGAUAAAUCUUUCCUCUAAUUAGAAUUGAAACAGUUUUCAGUGAUUAUUCCCUUCUUUUGAAGAAUUCAGUGAUAAAUCUGAACAUGUUGGUGGUUUUAUGAUUCCCUAGACAUUUACGCAUGAACAUAGUCUCAAACAUAGUGUUUUUUUUUUUUCU